rnacentral:rRNA from 1 species
ACGUAGGGGGCUAGCGUUAUCCGGAUUUACUGGGCGUAAAGGGUGCGUAGGCGGUCUUUCAAGUCAGGAGUGAAAGGCUACGGCUCAACCGUAGUAAGCUCUUGAAACUGGGAGACUUGAGUGCAGGGGAGGAGAGUGGAAUUCCUAGUGUAGCGGUGAAAUGCGUAGAUAUUAGGAGGAACACCAGUUGCGAAGGCGGCUCUCUGGACUGUAACUGACGCUGAGGCACGAAAGCGUGGGGAGCAAACAGGAUUAGAUACCCUGGUAGUCCACGCUGUAAACGAUGAGUACUAGGUGUCGGGGGUUACCCCC